UACGUAGGGUGCAAGCGUUAAUCGGAAUUACUGGGCGUAAAGCGUGCGCAGGCGGUUGUGCGAGACCGAUGUGAAAUCCCCCGGGCUUAACCUGGGAAUGGCAUUGGUGACUGCACGGCUAGAGUGUGUCAGAGGGGGGGGUAGAAUUCCACGUGUAGCAGUGAAAUGCGUAGAGAUGUGGAGGAAUACCGAUGGCGAAGGCAGCCCCCUGG
rnacentral:rRNA from 1 species